UUUCUUUCAGCGUUUAGACGCUGGAACUCCCACAGAGCCACACUCCGGUAGAGAAUUGCUAUGUUGACUAGACAGUAACUGCGGCAUCUAACCAUAAGCAUGGCACAUAGCAGACAUUCAGGAAAUACUUUUACAUGAAUGAACAAAUGAAUCAAAUGGAAUGCUUCUACAGUCUUCGUUGUGGGAAUUGGCUCAUUUUUGCUUCUACAGUAAAGAUUCAAUCACUGGUAUGCUACAGAAGAAAAACAGAUGGGACGCUGGAAGCUGCAUGUUGAGAUGCAUCACAAGAUGGGCAAACUUCCAUCAGCCUGGGUCCCUGAGGUUCUAAGUGGAACAGAGUCGUUUGCUAACCCAUAAUGGAUAUGAAACACAAAUGACAAAUAAGCUUUCGUUGUUAAGCUGUUUUCAGGGUUAAGUCAUUACCAGAGCAUAACCACACCUAUCAUAAUUAAAACUGUAACAGAAAUAGGAUUAGGAGUAUGGGAGUGUGAGUGGGGCAGGUUAAAGUAUUAAAAGAUAGUCAGUGGAGGCUUUAUAUUGACAAGCUGAGAUUUAAGGCAAGACUGGAUGUAAGUGAGAGAAUUAGCCAACCAGGUAUCUGAGGAAAGAACCUAUAUGAGGGAGUGGGAUCAGGUAGAGCAAAGUCUUUAAUGAGGAAAUGUGACUGGCAAGGAAGCUAGUGUGGCUAGAACAGAGAGAGCAGGUAGGAGGAGAGGUGAGAGAGGUCAUGGCAACCAGAGCCUAAGAGCCCUCCGUAAGAAAUCUGAUUUUGUGGUGAAUCAAAUGGGGAGCCAUUGCAGGGUUUUGAGCAGAGCAGUGUCAUGGGAUUAGACAAUAAGGGAGCAAGGGUGGAAGCAGGAAGACCAGUUAGGAGGCUGCUGUUACAAUCUAGAUGAGAGAUAACAGUGGCUUUUGUCUCUGUAGCAGGCACUCAGGUAUUUUCAAUUUU